UACAGAGGUCCCAAGCGUUGUUCGGAUUCACUGGGCGUAAAGGGUGCGUAGGCGGUCGGGGUAAGUCUGAUGUGAAAUCUCACAGCUUAACUGUGAAACUGCAUUGGAUACUAUCCGGCUCGGAGGAAUGGAGGGGAGACUGGAAUACUUGGUGUAGCAGUGAAAUGCGUAGAUAUCAAGUGGAACACCAGUGGCGAAGGCGAGUCUCUGGACAUUUCCUGACGCUGAGGCACGAAAGCCAGGGGAGCAAACGGG
rnacentral:rRNA from 1 species